rnacentral:rRNA from 1 species
UGGGGAAUAUUGCACAAUGGGGGAAACCCUGAUGCAGCGACGCCGCGUGAGCGAAGAAGGUUUUCGAAUCGUAAAGCUCUGUCCUAUGAGAAGAUAAUGACGGUAUCAUAGGAGGAAGCCCCGGCUAAAUACGUGCCAGCAGCCGCGGUAAUACGUAUGGGGCGAGCGUUGUCCGGAAUUAAUGGGCGUAAAGGGUACGUAGGCGGUCUAUUAAGUCAGGUGUGAAAGCGUGAGGCUUAACCUCAUUAAGCACUUGAAACUGAUAGACUUGAGUGAAGGAGAGGAAAGUGGAAUUCCUAGUGUAGCGGUGAAAUGCGUAGAUAUUAGGAGGAAUACCGGUGGCGAAGGCGACUUUCUGGACUUUUACUGACGCUCAGGUACGAAAGCGUGGGGAGCAAACAGG